rnacentral:rRNA from 1 species
UACGUAGGGUGCGAGCGUUAAUCGGAAUUACUGGGCGUAAAGUGUGCGCAGGCGGCCGCGCAAGUCGAGUGUGAAAGCCCCGGGCUUAACUUGGGAAUUGCGCUCGAAACUACGUGGCUAGAGUGUGGCAGAGGGAGGUGGAAUUCCACGUGUAGCGGUGAAAUGCGUAGAGAUGUGGAGGAACACCGAUGGCGAAGGCAGCCCCCUGGGUUAACACUGACGCUCAUGCACGAAAGCGUGGGGAGCAAACAGG